rnacentral:rRNA from 1 species
UACGUAGGUGGCAAGCGUUGUCCGGAAUUAUUGGGCGUAAAGCGCGCGCAGGCGGUCCUUUAAGUCUGAUGUGAAAGCCCACGGCUCAACCGUGGAGGGUCAUUGGAAACUGGGGGGCUUGAGUACAGAAGAGAAGAGUGGAAUUCCACGUGUAGCGGUGAAAUGCGUAGAGAUGUGGAAGAACACCAGUGGCGAAGGCGGCUCACUGGCCCGGUACUGACGCUGAGGCGCGAAAGCGUGGGGAGCAAACAGG